UACGUAGGGUGCAAGCGUUGUCCGGAAUUAUUGGGCGUAAAGAGCUCGUAGGCGGUUUGUCGCGUCUGCUGUGAAAACUCGGGGCUUAACCCCGGGCCUGCAGUGGGUACGGGCAGACUAGAGUGCGGUAGGGGAGACUGGAAUUCCUGGUGUAGCGGUGAAAUGCGCAGAUAUCGGGAGGAACACCAGUGGCGAAGGCGACUUCCUGGCCUGUUCUUGACGCUGAGGCGCGAAAGCUAGGGGAGCAAACGGG
rnacentral:rRNA from 1 species